rnacentral:rRNA from 1 species
UACAGAGGUCUCAAGCGUUGUUCGGAUUCAUUGGGCGUAAAGGGUGUGUAGGUGGCGCGCUAAGUCGGGUGUGAAAUUUCGGAGCUUAACUCCGAAACUGCAUUCGAUACUGGCGUGCUUGAGGACUGGAGAGGAGACUGGAAUUCAUGGUGUAGCAGUGAAAUGCGUAGAGAUCAUGAGAAAGACCAGUGGCGAAGGCGGGUCUCUGGACAGUUCCUGACACUGAGACACGAAGGCCAGGGGAGCAAACGGG